CGGGGCCGCGGGUUCGAUCCCCGUUUCCCGCUCCAUAUUUUGAUUUAACUUCU
rnacentral:tRNA from 1 species